UAGUAAAGUCAGCUAAAA
rnacentral:tRNA from 1 species